AACGAACGCUGGCGGCAUGCCUAACGCAUGCAAGUCGAACGAUACCUGCGGGUCUAGUGGCGCACGGGGGCGUAACGCGGGGGAACCUGCCCUUAGGUUCGGAAUAACUCCCCGAAAGGGGUGCUAAUACCGGGUAAGCUCUUCGGACCAAAGAUUUAUCGCCUUUGGAUGGGCCCGCGUUGGGUUAGCUUGUUGGUAGGGUAGAAGCCUACCAAGGGUACGAUCCAUAGCUGGUCUGAGAGGAUGAUCAGCCACACUGGGACUGGGACACGGCCCAGACUCCUACGGGAGGCAGCAGUGGGGAAUAUUGGACGAUGGGCGAAAGCCUGAUCCAGCAAUGCCGCGUGAGUGAUGAAGGCCUUAGGGUUGUAAAGCUCUUUUACCCGGGAUGAUAAUGACAGUACCGGGAGAAUAAGCUCCGGCUAACUCCGUG
rnacentral:rRNA from 1 species